UGGUGCCCGCAGCCGCGGUAAUUCCAGCUCCAAUAGCGUAUAUUAAAGUUGUUGCAGUUAAAAAGCUCGUAGUUGAAUUUCGGGAUGAUCAGGUUGGUCGUGCCAUUGGUAUGUACUAGCUUUGGUGGUUCCUACCUCUUGAAGAACCGUAAUGUCAUUAACUUGGUGUUGCGGGGAAUCAGGACUGUUACUUUGAAAAAAUUAGAGUGUUUAAAGCAGGCAAACGCUUGAAUACAUUAGCAUGGAAUAAUGAAAUAGGACGUUUGAUCUUAUUUUGUUGGUUUCUAGGAUCGACGUAAUGAUUAAUAGGGAUAGUUGGGGGCAUUAGUAUUCAAUUGUCAGAGGUGAAAUUCUUGGAUUUAUUGAAGACUAACUACUGCGAAAGCAUUUGCCAAGGAUGUUUUCAUUAAUCAAGAACGAAAGUUAGGGGAUCGAAGACGAUCAGAUACCGUCGUAGUCUUAACCAUAAACUAUGCCGACUAGGGA
rnacentral:rRNA from 1 species